GUAUCACCUCAAUCCGUAGAGCAUGAGACUCGGAAUCUCAGGGCUGUGGGUUCGAGUCCCAUGUUGGGCA